rnacentral:misc_RNA from 1 species
CGGGGCUCUAGCUUUCCUUGUCUCCGGGAUGUCACCACGUACCUCCAUCUUCUUUUUCUCAUUUGCUACGAUCAAGACGGUUGAUGAUCACUGCGGGCUAUGGUUGCCCGGAAAUCUCUUCCAUAUCUUCUUUAAAAACAACUCCGCUUACCAUGAUAUCCAUCACCAACUUUACGGGACCAAGUAUAACUAUUCACAGCCUUUCUUUGUGACGUGGGAUAGGAUACUUGGUACCUACAUGCCAUAUGAACUUGAGAGGAGACCAGAAGGAGGUUUUG